CAGCGGCAAAAAGCAACCACGAAAAUGAAUUGUAUUUCGAUUUCAUGGAUUAUCGGCCUGAUUUUUGUUUUGGGAGUGUUUGAAAAUCUUGCGAGGAUUCCUGGAAAGUCAAAAUAUUCGAGAAUCCGCAAAGGAAGACGAUUUUAUAUAAUUAAAUGUUGUGGAAUUGCGAGGUGCAUCCCAAAGCUUAAAGAGAAAAAUAGACGUUUGACGGCGGCGAACACUUCCAAUAACGCGACCACUCACAGCAUAACUUCUUCAAUAAAAGAAAUAAAUAUGCUGACGACUGAUCAGGAAACUGUCAAUCUUGGCGAAAUUGAUGAUGCGCUGACUUCAUCCACUUUUAGUAGUAAAAAUUUCCUUUUUUCCUUUUUU